rnacentral:rRNA from 1 species
UGGCGGACGGGUGAGUAACACGUGGGUAACCUGCCCUUUAGCGGGGGAUAACACUUGGAAACAGGUGCUAAUACCGCAUAAUCUUUUUUCUCGCAUGAGUAAAAAGUGAAAGACGCUUUUGCGUCACUAAAGGAUGGACCCGCGCUGCAUUAGCUAGUUGGUGAGGUAACGGCUCACCAAGGCCACGAUGCAUAGCCGACCUGAGAGGGUGAUCGGCCACACUGGGACUGAGACACGGCCCAGACUCCUACGGGAGGCAGCAGUAGGGAAUCUUCGGCAAUGGACGAAAGUCUGACCGAGCAACGCCGCGUGAGUGAAGAAGGUUUUCGGAUCGUAAAACUCUGUUGUUAGAGAAGAAUAAGGAUGAGAGUAGAAAGUUCAUCCCUUGACGGUAUCUAACCAGAAAGCCACGGCUAACUACGUGCCAGCAGCCGCGGUAAUACGCAGGUGGCAAGCGUUGUCCGGAUUUAUUGGGCGUA